rnacentral:rRNA from 1 species
ACGCACGCUGGCGGCGUGCUUAACACCUGCCAGUCGAACGGUGAAGCGCCUUCCUUUUUGGUGGGUGUGGAUGAGUGGCGCACGGGUGAGUAACACGUGAGUAACCUGCCCCCUUCUUCUGGAUAACCGCAUGAAAGUGUGGCUAAUACGGGAUAUUCUGGGUCUGUCGCAUGAUGGGUCUGGGAAAGAUAUUGUUUCGGUGGGGGAUGGGCUCGCGGCCUAUCAGCUUGUUGGUGGGGUGAUGGCCUACCAAGGCGGUGACGGGUAGCCGGCCUGAGAGGGUGGACGGUCACACUGGGACUGAGACACGGCCCAGACUCCUACGGGAGGCAGCAGUGGGGAAUAUUGCACAAUGGGCGCAAGCCUGAUGCAGCGACGCCGCGUGAGGGAUGGAGGCCUUCGGGUUGUGAACCUCUUUCGCCAGUGAAGCAGGCCUGCCUCGUUUGUGGGUGGGUUGACGGUAGCUGGAUAAGAAGCGCCGGCUAACUACGUG